GACGAACCGUGCGAACGUUGUUCGGAUUCAUUGGGCGUAAAGGGUGCGUAGGCGGCCCUCCUUGUCGCGUGUGAAAGCCCCGGGCUCAACCUGGGAACGGCGCGCGAGACGGGGGGGCUGGAGUUCGGGAGAGGAGCGUGGAAUUCCCAGUGUAGAGGUGAAAUUCGUAGAUAUUGGGAAGAACACCGGUGGCGAAGGCGGCGCUCUGGACCGAGACUGACGCUGAGGCGCGAAAGCGUGGGGAGCAAACAGG
rnacentral:rRNA from 1 species